CCCCCCCCCUCCCGGCAGAAACCUGGAAGUGGAAAUCUCGGGCAUUCACCGUUUGGGUGAAGACGGAGGCGGGUUCUGGACAGACGUAGGCUGUCAGGGAGUGUUUACUUCGCCUCCACUUCUGUUCCUCCCUGCCCUGGUGCUGCUCCAGGUCACAUACUCGUCCUGAGCCGGCUUCAGCCUGUCCGCGCAGAAGUCUCCCGGAGCCAUGGCCUAGUACUCUUAUGUGAAGUCUAGCAAGCUCGUGCUCAAGGGAACCGAGUAAGAAGAAAAAGAGCAAAGAUAAGAAGAGAAAAAGAGAAGAUGAAGAAACCCAGCUUGAUACGUUGGAAUCUGGUGAACAGUAACAAACUUUGGUGAAAUUUCAGGAACCAUAGCCAUUGAAAUGGAUGAGGGAACCUAUAUACAUGCACUCGACAAUGGUCUUUUUACCCUGGGAGCUCCACACAAAGAAGAAUCGCCCUGAAAUCUGGCUAUGGAAAAUAUCUUGGUAUAAAUUCAGAUGAACUUGUUGGGCAUUCAGAUGCAAUUGGACCAAGAGAACAAUGGGAACCAGUCUUUCAAAAUGGGAAAAUGGCUUUGUUGGCCUCAAAUAGCUGCUUUAUUAGAUGCAAUGAAGCAGGGGACAUAGAAGCAAAAAGUAAAACAGCAGGAGAAGAAGAAAUGAUCAAGAUUAGAUCCUGUGCUGAAAAAGAAACCAAGAAAAAAGAUGACAUUCCAGAAGAAGACAAAGGAAAUGUAAAACAAUGUGAAAUCAAUUAUGUAAAGAAAUUUCAGAGCUUCCAAGACCACAAACUUAAAAUAAGUAAAGAAGAGAGUAAAAUUCUUAAAAAGGCUCAGAAAGAUGGAUUUUUGCAUGAGACGCUUCUGGACAGAGUCUCAGUCAUAGCCUGCCUUCAUCUCUGAAGGGACCAGGCGACCCAUGGAGUGCCUCGGCAGCCUCGUCAUUGCAUGCAAUCUUCACAGACAAGAUCUCACUGCAACCACGUUUCUACAGGAGCACAGGUGUGACAUUAUACUGAUGACAUCAUUCUCAGAGAAAAUUCAUUUUACAUACUAAGGACACACAGAUACAAGGAGGCUUACACAAAGGGAGUGGACCUCUCCUCAACACAGUAGUGCAAGGCCCUGCCACUUUGCUUCAAUUCCUGAAAAUUCCUUGGUAAACUUGGGGCUGCUCUAUUCCUGACACUUUCAAAAAACAGUUAUUCAUCCUCUCAGCAUCCACAAUGUUAAUACAAACCCAACAUUCUUCAAUUUGUGUUUUGUUUUUUGGAGGCACAGUCUUGCUCUGUCACCCAGGCUGGUAUGAAGUGGCACAAUUUCAGCUCACUGCAGCCUCGACCUCCUGAGCUCAAGCAAUUCUCCCAUCUCGGCCUUCCAAGUAGCUCGGACUGCAAGUGUGUGCCACGACACUCAGCUAAUUUUGUUUAAUUUUUUGUAGAGAAAAGGUCUCGCUAUGUUACCCAGGCUGGUCUCAAACUCCUGGGCUGAAGGGAUCCUCUUGCUUCAGCCUCCCAAAGUUCUGGGGUUACAGUUGUGAGCCACUGUGCCCAGCCCUUUAAUUCUUUACUUGGGGUUCAGGUGACAACAUAUUUCUUGUUUACAAAUCUUACUUAAUCUCACUGAUGCUGUCAUUGGCAAACUGACCCACCUCGAAUGAAGCCUCCUCCAACAAGUCUGGAAUCUGUCCAAAUUUAAAUUAACAGGUACUUCUAUGAAUUCCCUCAGAGAACACACUGUGGAUGCUUUAGAGACCUCUUCCCAUGCAUCCUGAAUUAUCUGGGUUGCAUAUGGUGGCCAUAAGUAGUCCAUGGGCUUCUGAUGUAAAAACAAACCUGCCCCUUUUGACCCUGCUCUGUACAGCAUCAGGGCAGUGAUUGCUGACCAUAUCCUGGACCCUCUGGAAACAGAGGGCUCUGCAUCCAUGUCCAUGAGCCUUCAUGCCCAUCUGGCCAUCAGGCCUUGGGAAGCAGCACCCCACAGCCUUGGCACAGCUGCAGAGACCUCCUUGCCUCAGGAUGGAGUCAAACCUGGACCCCCUGCCAUUCUCAUCUGCAGGAAACACUGCCCUCCUUCAUUCUCAGGCUGUGUUGCUGGAAGUCACCCGUCUCCGAGGACCCUUGGGAUCGACUGAGUGACCAGCAGUGAAGUUCAUCCACCUUCUGAAUGGAUGCCAUCAUCUGACAUGAUGGAGCGCAGUGGGAUGCUGCUGCCUUCCCUCCCUUAGCUAGGAUGUCCCUGAUAAAGGAUGACACCCAAGCCUCAGCACAACUGGCCAAACUUGAGGUGGUCAUCUCAGCACUGAUGCUGGGCCAACAAUUAGCCCCAUUUGUACAUUUUUACAAAUUUUUGGCAAUUGUCAAGAAUUGUCCACCUUCCCUCCCCAUUGAAUUAAAGAAACUUCUUGCCUCAUGGAUACUCAGAAUACAAUCAAGGUAACAGAUGCCUUUUUUUUUAACCAAGGACACAGUACAGAUCUCACAGGGACACUCCUUAUCUCCUGCAGAGUUCCAGACACUACUGAUGGUGACCAAGGCAACAUUCAUCGGAAAACACAGUGCUAGGCUUGUGAAAGUGUCCAGUAGGGCUUCCACUGCCCCUAUAGGCUGCAGGCAGCUGCUUUAGUUGAGAGAGAGACUGAGCUCCUCAAAGAAUUCCUAUUUAAGUUACAAAGCAGCGAGUGGAUGCCCUGCUGGGUUCCACUGUUGCCACAGGCUUUGAUUACUCUAAGUUCAUGCUUCUUAGGAAAGUGCACUUUUUACACCAACGCUACACAGUUCCCUCAGUUGCCUUUACUGGACAUCAAGGAGUUCACAUUUUUGACAACCAUUCAGUCCUGGACUGUCCAAGGGGUGGAGGUAGCUCCGUACAGGAAGCUGCCUGCUGCGUGUGGAUCAGUAAUAUCAGACUUGCCCAACAACUCACUGGAGACAUGAAAAUCAAUGCAUGGGGUUGCAUGAUAUCACCCAAAUAUUUAUGAAAACACUUGUGUGGCCAGAGACCCCAGAUAUCUAAACCAAAGCAUGGGGAAUGCAUGACAUCACCCAAAUAUUUACGAACAUGCUUGUGCUGCCAGAGACCCCAGAUCACUUUCCCUGCCUCCUGCUAAAUAAAUGGGGGUCGUAGCUUUGCAUUGGCUUCCACAUUACAUUACUCAUAACUGUGGCCUUCCUAAUCUCUCAUGUCCCUAAGCACUUAUUAUAAUGUCUCAGCAGCUUUCAGCCUCUCAAAAUAUUAGUCAUCAUGAAAAUAAAUGUCUGAUAUUAAA